rnacentral:rRNA from 1 species
CCUACGGGUGGCAGCAGUGAGGAAUAUUGGUCAAUGGACGAGAGUCUGAACCAGCCAAGUAGCGUGAAGGAUGACUGCCCUAUGGGUUGUAAACUUCUUUUAUAUGGGAAUAAAAUGUUCCACGUGUGGGAUUUUGUAUGUCCCAUAUUAAUAAGGAUCGGCUAACUCCGUGCCAGCAGCCGGGGUAAUACGGAGGAUCCGAGCGUUAUCCGGAUUUAUUGGGUUUAAAGGGUGCGUAGGUGGAUUGUUAAGUUAGUUGUGAAAGGUUGCGGCUCAACCGUAAAAUUGCAGUUGAAACUGGCAGUCUAGAGUACAGGAGAGGUGGGUGGAAUGCGUGGUGUAGCGGUGAAAUGCUUAGAGAUCAAGAAGAAGUCUGAUUGCGAAGGCAGUCUACUGGACCGCAACUGACACUGAGGCGCGAAAGUGUGGGUAUCAAACAGGAUUAGAUACCCCUGUAGUC